rnacentral:rRNA from 1 species
ACGGAAGGCAGCAGUGGGGAAUAUUGGGCAAUGGGCGCAAGCCUGACCUAGCGACGCCGCGUGAGGGAAGAAGGUCUUCGGAUUGUAAACCUCUUUCAGCAGGGAAGAAGCAAGUGACGGUAUCUGCAGAAGAAGUCACGGCUAACUACGUGCCAGCAGCCGCGGUAAUACGUAGGUGGCGAGUGUUAUCCGGAAUUACUGGGUGUAAAGGGUGUGUAGGCGGAGAAGCAAGUCAGGCGUGAAAUUUAUGGGCUCAACUCAUAAACUGCGCUUGAAACUGUUUCCCUUGAGAGUGGGAGAGGUAAACGGAAUUCCUGGUGUAGUAGUGAAAUGCGUAGAUAUCAGGAGGGACACCGGUGGCGAAGGCGGUUUACUGGACCACAACUGACGCUGAGACACGAAAGCGUGGGGAGCAAACAGGAUUAGAUACCCUGGUA